rnacentral:rRNA from 1 species
GAUUAGUGGCGAACGGGUGAGUAACACGUGAGUAACCUGCCCUUGACUUUGGGAUAACUCGGGGAAACUCGGGCUAAUACCGGAUAUGAGAUCGCAUCGCAUGGUGUGGUUUGGAAAGAAUUUCGGUCAAGGAUGGACUCGCGGCCUAUCAGCUGGUUGGUGGGGUAAUGGCCUACCAAGGCGACGACGGGUAGCCGGCCUGAGAGGGCGACCGGCCACACUGGGACUGAGACACGGCCCAG